GACGAACGCUGGCGGCGUGCUUAACACAUGCAAGUCGAACGGAAAGGCCCUGCUUUUGUGGGGUGCUCGAGUGGCGAAAGGGUGAGUAACACGUGAGUAACCUGCCCUUGACUUUGGGAUAACUUCAGGAAACUGGGGCUAAUACCGGAUAGGAGCUCCUGCUGCAUGGUGUGGGUGGGAAAGUUUCGGCGGUUGGGGAUGGACUCGCGGCUUAUCAGCUUGUUGGUGGGGUAGUGGCUUACCAAGGCUUUGACGGGUAGCCGGCCUGAGAGGGUGACCGGCCACAUUGGGACUGAGAUACGGCCCAGACUCCUACGGGAGGCAGCAGUGGGGAAUAUUGCACAAUGGGCGGAAGCCUGAUGCAGCAACGCCGCGUGCGAGAUGACGGCCUUCGGGUUGUAAACCGCGUGCGCCUGUGACGAAGCGUGAGUGACGGUAAUGGGUAAAGAAGCACCGGCUAACUACGUG
rnacentral:rRNA from 1 species